rnacentral:rRNA from 1 species
CCUCAAGAUGAGAUUUCCCAACUUCGGUUAUAAGAUCCCUCGAAGAUGACGAGGUUAAUAGGUUCGAGGUGGAAGCGUGGUGACACGUGGAGCUGACGAAUACUAAUCGAUCGAAGACUUAAUCAAUUUUUAAA